ensembl:misc_RNA
UGGGAUCAAAAGAAGGCACAGUCAAUUCCUUAUAGCAUCUUCUUUGGGAUUAUUCAUGAACCAGAACUCUUCAAAAAACAUAAGAAAUUCUACCCAGGAAUCCCUUUACCUAAUGGCAUCUCACAAGACUACAAUGAGACUUAAGAAAAGGCAUCUUGAUACAUCAAGAUAGCACCUA